rnacentral:misc_RNA from 1 species
AACGCACAUUGCGCCCCUUGGUAUUCCGAGGGGCAUGCCUGUUCGAGCGUCAUUUCAACCCCUCAAGCUUCGGCUUGGUGUUGGGCCGCGCCGCUGCACCAGCAGCUGGCGGGCCUCAAAAUCAGUGGCGGCGCCGUCUCGGCUCUAAGCGUAGUAACAUCUCUCGCUCUGGAGACCUGGCGGUGGCUUGCCAGACAACCCCCAACUUUCUUUAAGGUUUGACCUCGGAUCAGGUAGGGAUACCCGCUGAACUUAA